rnacentral:rRNA from 15 species
GUACCGUGAGGGAAAGGUGAAAAGCACCCCGGUGAGGGGAGUGAAAUAGUACCUGAAACCGCGCGUCUACAAGCAGUUGGAGCACUAUGCCUUCGGGAAUGUGCAACAGCGUACCUUUUGCAUAAUGGGCCUGCGAGUUACGGUAUGUCGCGAGGUUAAGCCGUUAGGUGGAGCCGUAGGGAAACCGAGUUCUCACAGAGCGAUUGAGUGGCAUGCCGUAGACCCGAAACCCGGUGAUCUAUCCUUGGCCAGGUUGAAGCGCGGGUAAAACCGCGUGGAGGACCGAACCCACUGGAGUUGAAAAUCCAGGGGAUGAGCUGAGGAUUGGAGUGAAAGGCUAAUCAAACCGGGUGAUAGCUGGUUCUCCGCGAAAUAUAUUUAGGUAUAGCCUCGAGUGAAUUGCACCGGAGGUAGAGCACUGGAUGGGCUAGGGGUCCUACCAGAUUACCAAACCCAACCAAACUCCGAAUGCCGGUGACAACUACUCGGGAGUCAGGCUGCGGGUGAUAAGGUCCGUAGCCAAGAGGGAAAGAGCCCAGAUCGACAGCUAAGGCCCCUAAAUCCGUACUAAGUGUCAAAGGAUGUGGGAGCGCCCAGACAGCCAGGAGGUUGGCUUAGAAGCAGCCACCCUUUAAAGAAAGCGUAAUAGCUCAC